rnacentral:rRNA from 1 species
GAUGAACGCUAGCGACAGGCCUAACACAUGCAAGUCGAGGGGCAGCACUUCGGGUGGCGACCGGCGCACGGGUGAGUAACGCGUAUGUAACCUGCCCUCAGGUGGGGGAUAGCCCAUCGAAAGAUGGAUUAAUACCGCAUGACGUCGAAUGACAGCAUUAGAUUUCGACCAAAGAUUCAUUGCCUGGGGAUGGACAUGCGUCCUAUUAGCUAGUUGGCGGGGCAACGGCCCACCAAGGCGACGAUAGGUAGGGGUUCUGAGAGGAAGGUCCCCCACAUUGGUACUGAGACACGGACCAAACUCCUACGGGAGGCAGCAGUGAGGAAUAUUGGUCAAUGGGCGGAAGCCUGAACCAGCCAAGUCGCGUGAAGGACGACGGCCCUAUGGGUUGUAAACUUCUUUAGCAGCAGAGUAAUAAGGGGGUCGCGACCCCCGAUGCAAGUAUGCUGAGAAUAAGGAUCGGCUAACUCCGUGCCAGCAGCCGCGGUAAUACGGAGGAUCCGAGCGUUAUCCGGAUUUAUUGGGUUUAAAGGGUGCGCAGGCGGCUUGUUAAGUCAGCGGUCAAAUCGCGGGGCUCAACCCCGCUCCGCCGUUGAUACUGGCGAGCUUGAUUGUGGUCGAGGUUGGCGGAAUUCGUCGUGUAGCGGUGAAAUGCAUAGAUAUGACGAAGAACCCCGAUUGCGUAGGCAGCUGACCAGGCCACAAAUGACGCUCAGGCACGAAAGUGCGGGGAUCGAACAGGAUUAGAUACCCUGGUAGUCCGCACAGUAAACGAUGAAUACUCGUUUUGGGCGAUAGAAUGUCCGAGGCAAAGCGAAAGCGAUAAGUAUUCCACCUGGGGAGUACGCCGGCAACGGUGAAACUCAAAGGAAUUGACGGGGGCCCGCACAAGCGGAGGAACAUGUGGUUUAAUUCGAUGAUACGCGAGGAACCUUACCCGGGCUUGAAUUGCAGUAGAACGAUACAGAGAUGUUGAGGCCCCUUCCGGGGCUGCUGCGAAGGUGCUGCAUGGUUGUCGUCAGCUCGUGCCGUGAGGUGUCGGCUUAAGUGCCAUAACGAGCGCAACCCCUCUCCGUAGUUGCCAUCGGGUGAUGCCGGGCACUCUGCGGACACUGCCACCGCAAGGUGUGAGGAAGGUGGGGAUGACGUCAAAUCAGCACGGCCCUUACGUCCGGGGCUACACACGUGUUACAAUGGGGGGCACAGAGGGACGGCCGCCGGCAACGUCGGUCCAAUCCAUAAAUCCCCCCUCAGUUCGGACCGGGGUCUGCAACCCGACCCCGCGAAGCUGGAUUCGCUAGUAAUCGCGCAUCAGCCAUGGCGCGGUGAAUACGUUCCCGGGCCU